GACGUCAAGUCAUCAUGGCCCUUACGUGUAGGGCUACACACGUGCUACAAUGGCAUUUACAGAGGGAAGCGAGACAGUGAUGUGGAGCGGACCCCUUAAAGAAUGUCGUAGUCCGGAUUGGAGUCUGCAACUCGACUCCAUGAAGUCGGAAUCGCUAGUAAUCGCAGGUCAGAAUACUGCGGUGAAUACGUUCCCGGGCCUUGUACACACCGCCCGUCACACCAUGGGAGUGGGAUGCAAAAGAAGUAGUUAGUCUAACCUUCGGGAGGACGAUUACCACUUUGUGUUUCAUGACUGGGGUGAAGUCGUAACAAGGUAACCCUAGGGGAACCUGGGGUUGGAUCACCUCCUUACCAUUACGUCGAAAGACGCCUUGAUGCAGUGCCUACACAGAUAGUCUUGUUUUUAUUGAACAAAACUU
rnacentral:rRNA from 1 species